GAUGAAGAACGUAGCGAAAUGCGAUAAGUAAUGCGAAUUGCAGAAUUUCCGUGAGUCAUCGAAUCUUUGAACGCACAUUGCGCCCACUGGUAUUCCGGUGGGCAUGCCUGUUCGAGCGUCAUUAUCCUCCCUCAAACCCCGGGUUUGGUGUUGGACCCAAGUUGUGUGAACAACUGGUCUCAAAGACAAUGACGGCGUCCGUGGGACCCUCGGUGCAACGAGCUUUUAGGAGCACGCAUCGAGUUGCAAGGACCUUCCGGGCCGGUCUCCUUUAACAUUUUACAAGGUUGACCUCGGAUCAGGUAGGAAUACCCGCUGAACUUAAGCAUAUCAAUAAGCGGAGGA
rnacentral:misc_RNA from 1 species